rnacentral:rRNA from 1 species
CGAUAACGAACGAGACCUCGGCCCUUAAAUAGCCCGGUCCGCGUCCGCGGGCCGCUGGCUUCUUAGGGGGACUAUCGGCUCAAGCCGAUGGAAGUGCGCGGCAAUAACAGGUCUGUGAUGCCCUCAGAUGUUCUGGGCCGCACGCGCGCUACACUGACAGGGCCAGCGAGUACAUCACCUUGGCCGAGAGGCCCGGGUAAUCUUGUUAAACCCUGUCGUGCUGGGGAUAGAGCAUUGCAAUUGUUGCUCUUCAACGAGGAAUGCCUAGUAGGCACGAGUCAUCAGCUUGCGUUGAUUACGUCCCUGCCCUUUGUACACACCGCCCGUCGCUACUACCGAUUGAAUGGCU